GUGCCAGCAGCUGCGGUAAUACGGAGGGUGCAAGCGUUAUCCGGAAUCAUUGGGUUUAAAGGGUCCGCAGGCGGGAUUGUAAGUCAGUGGUGAAAAGCGGCAGCUCAACUGUCGUCGUGCCAUUGAUACUGCAGUCCUUGAAUUCGAUGGGAGUGGGGCGGAAUAUGUCAUGUAGCGGUGAAAUGCUUAGAUAUGACAUAGAACACCGAUCGCGAAGGCAGCUCACUAUGUCUGAAUUGACGCUCAUGGACGAAAGCGCGGGUAGCAAACAGGAUUAGAUACCCCUGGUAGUCCGCGCCGUAAACGAUGAUUACUCGUUGUCGGCCCUUCGGGGUCGUGACUAAGCGAAAGUGA
rnacentral:rRNA from 1 species